UACGAAGGGGGCUAGCGUUGUUCGGAAUUACUGGGCGUAAAGCGCACGUAGGCGGAUUGUUAAGUUAGAGGUGAAAUCCCGGAGCUCAACUUCGGAACUGCCUUUGAUACUGGCAAUCUCGAGUCCGGAAGAGGUUAGUGGAAUUCCCAGUGUAGAGGUGAAAUUCGUAGAUAUUGGGAAGAACACCAGUGGCGAAGGCGGCUAACUGGUCCGGUACUGACGCUGAGGUGCGAAAGCGUGGGGAGCAAACAG
rnacentral:rRNA from 1 species